CACGAGUUCAUCACCUUGGCCGAAGGUCUGGGUAAUCUUGUUAAACUCUGUCGUGCUGGGGAUAGAGCAUUGCAAUUAUUGCUCUUCAACGAGGAAUUCCUAGUAAGCGCAAGUCAUCAGCUUGCGUUGAUUACGU
rnacentral:rRNA from 1 species